UACGAAGGGGGCUAGCGUUGUUCGGAAUUACUGGGCGUAAAGGGCGCGUAGGCGGUACUUCAAGUCAGGCGUGAAAGCCCCGGGCUCAACCUGGGAACCGCGCUUGAGACUGGAGAACUAGAGUUCGGGAGAGGAUGGUGGAAUUCCCAGUGUAGAGGUGAAAUUCGUAGAUAUUGGGAAGAACACCGAUGGCGAAGGCAGCCAUCUGGGACAACACUGACGCUGAAGCACGAAAGCGUGGGGAGCAAACAGG
rnacentral:rRNA from 1 species